GACGAAGGGGGCUAGCGUUGUUCGGAAUUACUGGGCGUAAAGCGCGUGUAGGCGGUUGUUCAAGUCAGGUGUGAAAGCCUUGAGCUCAACUCAAGAAAUGCACUUGAUACUGGAUGACUAGAGGACCGGAGAGGAUAGUGGAAUUCCCAGUGUAGUGGUGAAAUACGUAGAGAUUGGGUGGAACACCUGUGGCGAAGGCGGCCAUCUGGACGUUCGACUGACGCUGAGACGCGAAAGCGUGGGUAGCAAACAGG
rnacentral:rRNA from 1 species